rnacentral:rRNA from 1 species
CCUGAGAAACCCAAAAGAUCGAAUGGGGAGAUUCAUCGUCAGCGAUCCGGGCGCGUGUGCGGCUCGCGAUGUCGCCGGGGGCCCUCGCGGCUCACGGGCGUCACGCGUCCGCAUGUGUCUCAAUGGAUUGUCCGGUGUCGUCGGCGUGCACUUCUCCCCUAGUAGGACGUCGCGACCCGUUGGGUGUCGGCCUACGGCCCGGGUGGUAGCCUGUCGUUCGUCACGCCCUCGCGGCGGCGUCGAGCGGCAGACCCCCGGUCGCCCGGGCGACUGCCCGGCGGUACUCGCACGGUAUCGGGCCGCAGAGAUUCGAACUGCGUCCGGCCCGCCGCAAGCGCGGCCAGAUCACAAUCCCGGUAGUUCAACGGACCAAGCGCCGUCGCCGGGUCUGGCCAGCUGUUGGUUGGCGGUGCCAUCGGACCGGCUCCGGCGGGAGCCUCCAAGCUCCCCCGAAAUUAUGAUACCGGUCGGCGACGCUACUGCUUUGGGUACUUUCAGGACCCGUCUUGAAACACGGACCAAGGAGUCUAACAUGUGCGCGAGUCAUUGGGAGCUCGAGUCAAGCCUAAAGGCGAAAUGAAAGUGAAGGUCGGCCUCGCGCCGACCGAGGGAGGAUGGGCCGUGCCGCGGCGCGGUCCCGCACUCCCGGGGCGUCUCGUUCUCAUCGCGAGAUGAGGCGCACCCAGAGCGUACACGUUGGGACCCGAAAGA